rnacentral:lncRNA from 1 species
UGGGCCCUUGAGCCAUCAUCUAUCACAUUUACAGUUAAAACAGGUUAGACAUCACUUGUCAUAAGUAUCUUAUCCUCAUCAUAGCAGCUGUACUAUGACGCUAACAUAUAUUUUUCUAGCCUAAAUUCAUGGCUAUCACUAAUCUCAUGUCAAGCAUAUCUUACUUGAAAAAUGCUCAUAUUAAUGUUAAGUCUGAGACACUUCAAGCUUAAUAUGAACUAAUUUUUUAUCAAUGCAUACAUACGGCCCUUACCUAAAGCCAUUUCAUCAAUUACAUCUCGCAUUUUAUAUCAUGACUUAUAUCUCAUAAUUGUAACUAAAAACAUAGCAUGCAUAGUUCAACAUCAUAAUCAUAGAAUGGUCUUCCCUAGAAGAAACAUAGUUAAUGUACAGUGUGUCAUGACCCGGUACUCCCCUCGAGCCCGUGACAAUCUCCGUGACGUCCCGAUAGACAUUCAUUACCCGAAAUGCCAACCGGAACCUCGCAAGGCUUUAAUAUUAGUUGUCGCACCUCUCUUGUGAGCAACAGUUGUUAAGUAUUAUGUUUUGAGAGAUUAUAAACUAUUUUCAAGUCAAAACAAUCGAAAAAUAAUUUUUUUCUCAUAGGGGCAUUUUGAUCAUUUUUCCUCAAAAAUCUCGAAACUAGCUAAAAAUGUAGUAUGCAAGUGGAAAACACAUAUUUCAUAAUCAAAAAUAAGUUUAGAUGUCUAAAACAUUCAUUUGAAAUAAAAUUAUGACUAUUUGAAUAUAAUAAAAAUAUUUAAUAAAAUAUUCUAUUUUUUUAUAAAACAAUAUUUAUAGAGUUACCCGUAAAUAAUUUUUAUAGCGUAAAAGCUAAAUAAAUUCAUACAUACUGUAAUACAGAUAACCAAAGUAUAAAAUUUAAUUUACAGUGACACGUGAGCCCACGAACGAUCAAAAGUAUCAAAAACGGUAAACCUACAGUUUUUGGGGAUACAAGUCCAAUUGUAGCCCUCAAUAAAGUGAGCUAUCUACCGACU